UACGAAGGGGGCUAGCGUUGUUCGGAAUCACUGGGCGUAAAGGGCGCGUAGGCGGCUUUAUAAGUCGGGGGUGAAAGCCUGUGGCUCAACCACAGAAUUGCCUUCGAUACUGUAGAGCUUGAGACCGGAAGAGGUAAGUGGAACUGCGAGUGUAGGAGGUAGAAAUUCGUAGAUAUUCGCAAGAACACCAAUUGCGAAGGCAGCUCGCUGGGACGUUACUGACGCUGAGACGGCGAAAGCGUGGGGAGCAAACAGGG
rnacentral:rRNA from 1 species